CCAAGGGGCUGCAGAGCCCCACACAGACACAGACACCCCCCUGUCCCCAGGGGAAGGAGGCUGCACUCCUCAUUUUGAGGGGCUGUCCCCACCCAGCCACUGCCCUUUCCACUGCCACUGCUGAAGUGGCUGGAAAAUGGGAUGGAAAUGGAUUUGGAAUGAUUUACACAGAUACUGUCACACUGAUAACUGCUGCGUUACGAGUUUGGGGUUUGGCAGAAAACAAACCUGAUUUCCCAGCUCAUCCUGAGGGAUCAGAGGGACUGGAAGCAGCAGGGCUGAAUUCCUGACAGGAGCCAGUUCCACUUGGCAGCACUGGGGAGGUCCCACUUCAAGUACUGUGGUUGUUUUGGGCCCCUCGCACCAGACAGACCUGGAGGCACUGGAGGGUUGUGGAAAAUGGCCCAUCCUGUUGUGUGGGCACAGAGCUGCUGUGAGAUUUGGACUGGACAGGGUUGAGGGAAGA